UACGAAGGGGGCUAGCGUGGCUCGGAAUCACUGGGCGUAGAGGGUGCGUAGGCGGGGCUUUAAGUCCGGGGUGAAAUCCUGGAGCUCAACUCCAGAACUGCCUUUGAUACUGAAGAUCUUGAGUUCGGGAGAGGUGAGUGGAACUGCGAGUGUAGAGGUGAAAUUCGUAGAUAUUCGCAAGAACACCAGUGGCGAAGGCGGCUCACUGGCCCGAUACUGACGCUGAUGCACGAAAGCGUGGGGAGCAAACAGG
rnacentral:rRNA from 1 species